rnacentral:rRNA from 1 species
CCUACGGGUGGGCAGCAGUGAGGAAGAUUGGGCAAUGGGAGCGAGCUUGAACCAGCCAAGCAGCGUGAAGGAUGACUGCCUGAAGGGUUGUAAACUUCUUUUAUAAAGGAAGAAAGUGAGGCACGGGUGCCUUUUUGUAUGUACUUUAUGAAUAAGGAUCGGCUAACUCCGUGCCAGCAGCCGCGGUAAUACGGAGGAUCCGAGCGGUAUCCGGAUUUAUUGGGUUUAAAGGGAGCGUAGAUGGGUUGUUAAGUCAGUUGUGAAAGUUUGCGGCUCAACCGUAAAAUUGCAAUUGAUACUGGCAGCCUUGAGUACAGUUGAGGUAGGCGGAAUGCGUGGUGUAGCGGUGAAAUGCAUAGAUAUCACGAAGAACUCCGAUUGCGAAGGCAGCUUACUAAACUGCCACUGACAUUGAUGCUCGAAAGUGUGGGUAUCAAACAGGAUUAGAUACCCUAGUAGUC